GUAGCGGACCGGGCCCCUCUGGCGAUCGACCGAUCGUGAUGUCGGACUGCAUGA
rfam:Caulobacteraceae bacterium OTSz_A_272, complete genome.